rnacentral:rRNA from 1 species
AACGCGUGGGAACGUGCCCAGAUCUAAGGAAUAGCCACUGGAAACGGUGAGUAAUACCUUAUACGCCCUUCGGGGGAAAGAUUUAUCGGAUUUGGAUCGGCCCGCGUUAGAUUAGGUAGUUGGUGGGGUAAUGGCCUACCAAGCCUACGAUCUAUAGCUGGUUUUAGAGGAUGAUCAGCAACACUGGGACUGAGACACGGCCCAGACUCCUACGGGAGGCAGCAGUGGGGAAUCUUGGACAAUGGGGGCAACCCUGAUCCAGCCAUGCCGCGUGAGUGAUGAAGGCCUUAGGGUCGUAAAGCUCUUUCGCCUGUGAUGAUAAUGACAGUAGCAGGUAAAGAAACCCCGGCUAACUCCGUGCCAGCAGCCGCGGUAAUACGGAGGGGGUUAGCGUUGUUCGGAAUUACUGGGCGUAAAGCGCGCGUAGGCGGAUUAGUCAGUUAGAGGUGAAAUCCCAGGGCUCAACCCUGGAACUGCCUUUAAUACUGCUAGUCUUGAGUUCGAGAGAGGUGAGUGGAAUUCCGAGUGUAGAGGUGAAAUUCGUAGAUAUUCGGAGGAACACCAGUGGCGAAGGCGGCUCACUGGCUCGAUACUGACGCUGAGGUGCGAAAGUGUGGGGAGCAAACAGGAUUAGAUACCCUGGUAGUCCACACCGUAAACAAUGAAUGCAUCGUCGGCAAGCAUGCUGUCGUGACCACCUACGAUAACAUCCCCUGGGAAUACGUCCCAGAUUAACUCAGGAUUGC